rnacentral:rRNA from 1 species
AGGUGCGAUCAUACCAUGUUAAUGCACCGGAUCCCAUCAGAACUCCGCAGUUAAGCGCGCUUGAGCUAGAGUAGUACUGGGAUGGGUGACCUCCCGGGAAGUACUAGUGUUGCACCCC